UCCUGUCCGCCCGGGCGGCUUCGCACCUGAGUGCCACCUUGCGGCGCUGCAGCGCGCCUCCCGCCUCAGCCUGCAGGGACAGACGCUGCUCCCGGGGUCGCCUCAGGCCCAGUCUGAGCCUUGGGAAAGCAUCGUGGUGACCAGCGUCCUCCCCACCUCGCCCAGGAGUUCUCACGCCAGGGCUCGGGCCUUGACGCUCCCCCUCGGAGCGGCCCUGGUCGGGGUGCGAGGUCCCCCCUUACGGGGAUCUUGGGGCUCGGCCUCCCUACCUAGGGCGGCAGAGUGCUCCAGAUCCCCGUCCUCACCUCGUUCCAUCCCUCACCCCUCUAACUUUCUACCUCUGACCUUUUCCCCUCUUCCUGGCCCCCAUCGGUGAAGGCGAUGGCCGGCUUCCCCCUCCUUCGCAGGGAACUUCUUCAGCUUCUCGUGCGUGCGGGAUGUCGGGAGGGUCAGAAGUGGGGUCCCGGCUGGCACUGCCGCCUCCUCCCCUUUCCAGGCUGCGCCCCACAGCGUGGCCUCAGGAUGGGAGGUCCGGGAGGGUAGGGGGCCACCAGCUGAUGUUGGGGGAACCCACAUAGGAAGGGAGGACCCCAGCCUCCCUCACCUCAGUGUGGCCGGGGCUACCUGGCCCUGGGGUGUGGCUGUCGCUGGGAUAUCUCUCUGUCUCCGGCAUCCCACAGGGAUCCCAUCCUCCCCAGGGACUGCAGUGAGGGGACAGGCCGGGGCCACCAGAAGCAGGUGGUGGUGCUCACUGCACCGUGGCCAACAGCCGGGACAGGAGGGCAGGACGGACAGGAGCCUGGCACUCAGUGGCGGUGGGGCAAAAGAGCUGCAGCGUGUAGCAUCCAGGAGGCUGUGCAGCUGCCUUGCCAGGGCCAGGGGCUUCACAGAACCAGGGCCUGUGACCCCCAGUUCCUGGCAGCAGUGAGGGGGAGAGGAAGCAGCUACGCCCACAGUCCAGCCUGCUCCAUGGGUUGGCACCAGCCAGGCACCGCAGGAGGGGCCUAGCGGACCAGGGACUGUUCCAGCCUCCUGCGAUGAGCAUCUUCCCCCACCGAGUUGUGACUUGGGGUCGCCACUGCGUGGGCCGAGGGAAGGGUCCAGGGAGAAAAGCCACCACGGGCCAAGGUGGCAGAGGGGCCAUCCACAUCCACGGUCAUCUCCACAGCCCUGGGCAGCCCUGCCAAAAGGAGAGGUUGUUCAUCAGGCCAUCUUCGAUGGCAGCUGUUCAAACAUCCUUCAAAGCAGUCUGGACAUCUGGACAGAGACUGCAUCUCUGGCAGCUGGAGGUGGCAGCAGCUGUCUCUGGCGUCUAAGUAGGAGGUGCUGGCAAGCUUUCUGGACAGUCCCUGAUUUGUGGUAGGAGAGGGGGCCAAGCCUGCCUUCUCCUGCUUUGAACACGGCAUGGGCCACUUCCAGCAUCCAAGGACCACAGGGCCAACCAGGCAGAAAGGCAAAGUUGAGAAUGUCACUGAAGGGUGGGGACCAGUCACAGCGACCAAAACGAAACAAAUCCCUGAAACCUUGGCCUGGAUGCCGCGGUGCUGCUCGGCGGAACCUGGCAGGGGCCUGGCUUGCCAUCCAGUGUGUGGGAAAGACGAGAAUACAGCAGCUUAAAAAGCCACUCGUGCCGGGCGCACCCAGGCCCCUCCUGGUGUCAUCCUGCGGAUGAAGGGUUCCUGCAGCACCUGCCCUGGGAGCUCUGGCACCCAGGCGUUGGCUCAGUGCCUAGGGGCCCUGGCAGCUUGGCCCUUUCCCACUGCAGCCUAAAAGAGCCAAGCGGGCGAGGGAGGCGCUGGAGAGAGACCUCAGUCCUGCUGCUGUCUUGCCUGGCCUGCCCAAAUUCUCAGGAGGCUCACACAGGGCUCUUUCGCCUGCUUGGCACCGCCUUGUCCCCUCCCCUGCAGCAGAAACACAAAAUAACUGUCCAGGAGGCGGAGAGCUUCUCCUUCCUUGUACUUGCUCUGGGCAGCCCUCAGCACCCCAAUCUGGGAAGCAGUGGGGGUGGGGGUAGCUUUUCUACCCCAAGAGUCAGGGCAGGGGACAGGCUUUCUUCUUUUGUUUUUUGAGAGAGGGUCUUGUUAUGUAGUCUAUGCUUUCUUUGAACUUGGGGUGACCCUCCUGCCUCAGCCUCCCAAGACCGACAGGACAGAAUUUCUUGGGCCUUCUCUUUGCUAUUGUCACCUUUGGGGAAUGCAUUCCUGGUUUAUCCAUCCUGCCUGCCGUGAUGUCUGUCACUAGCAGAGUCCCCACCCCGUGAAACCCCCUAGGUUUGGGGACCAGGUCCCCUCAGUAGACUAAGCAGCUCCCAGAGGGCAGGGAGAGCCUGUGUCGUGGCUGACUCUUUAUUUGUUUAUUUAUUU